GUUAACUAGCAGUAAAAUUUAGUACUAAGAAAAUGUUAGUAGAGUAAAAAAUUUACAAAGAUAACAAAAAGAAAAAUAGUUGUCUUUAAGGUGGAUGAUAGUAGAGGCAGAGAUAACCCAGUCUUUCAGGAGUGGAAGAUGAAGGAGAGAAGGAUGUAUUUUGCACUGACAAAUGAUGGUUAUUUUCCAUUUCUGUCCCAUUUAGUGCAGUUGAGAAGCAGGGAGGGCAUGUCAUACCAUGAACCAUAAGAGGGUGAUGUAUCUGCCAGGACUCACAAUGGACAAAAGUCUGCAAUAUGUCUGUACUUCUUUUGUGAAAAGAAAUAUUGUAGGGAAUAGUUUCUAUUUACAGUACACUUAACGAUGAUCUAAUCUGGAUGUCUGGUGUUUGAGCUAGUUAGGAACCAAAACGCAUGCUUCCUACAGUGAGAAAAAUCAAACAGUCCAUAUGAAAGCAAUGAACACUACCUCUGAGGAAAACAGCAUUACUCCACACGUCUGCUCCGAGUUCACGGCCCUUGGCAACCAUCGUCAUCAUCUACUCCAGUUCUCCAUGUUUUGCUGGCAGUACCACCCCUCUUGCUUUGUUCAUAAACCACCAUCGGUAAUUAAGAAGUUCAAUUUACUUGCUCAUGUUUGUGACUCCUCCUCAGUUUGUCAGAUCUACAGAGACCAGACUGAUCAGUAUGAUCUUUUUAUGAUUUUGAUAGCUGGCACUCCCAGUAAUGGAGGAAAUGUUGGUGCAAUGCUGAAAGGCAGAUGAAAGUUAUUAAUCUCAGGUAAAUGCCAAAAACUGGCAGACUGUGGUGAACUGGGAGAAGCAAUGCCCACAGGCGACACAAUUGUUUCUAUCUGAUUUAUGUGAAAAUUUAUGCUGGAUAUUCAUCUGCCUGGGGUGAAAAGACUUGCAGCACUUUUACGCAUCCUCUUCUCAGAUAACUUAGUUGCUGAAGUAGCUGUCCUAGUAAUUUUAGCUUUCACCAUGCUGGUAUGCUUUUUUUUUUUUUGUACAC
rnacentral:lncRNA from 1 species